UUUGACUCUAACACAAAAGAACAGAUAUAAACAUCUAAGGGCUAAUUCUAAAUGCUUAAUGCCCUCUUCCCUUGCUUGGAUAUGCUACACGAUGUCAUAACCAGAAGUGAGAAAAAAGUAACACCUUUUUGGUUAAUGCUAACCUGAACACUGAUAAGGAAACUAAAAUAAUAUGUAGGAAUAAUCUGUUAUUCAUCAAAAUUAUUUCUGUUUACUUAGGAAUAAUGCUUUGUUGUCAGAAAUGUUAAGAUUUUUUGAAAAAAAUGUUAUCUGUAAAAAUAAUAACAUGUAUUAGGUUCAGAUUUUGCCUUUAGCUUGCUGCAUCUUUUAUUCUUAUGAAUGUAAAACUUGAUUAUGAAAAAGUUAUGAAGUUUUAUAUUUUACAGGCCAAGACUCAUGUCUGACACUAAAUUUGCUCGAGCCCUUCAUAUUCCAGGAAACAGAUGGAAGAUAAGUGAAAGAAGACUCCAAUGAAAUUUCUGCACUUCUCUGGUUUGGGAAAAACUUAAAAGCCAAUGUCCCCAUUUUGCAGCAUCCACAGAUUGAAGAAUGAAGUUUUUGCUGCAUCUAUGGUGCCCAGAGAAUUUUUAUCUUUAAACCAGCCCACAUGCCAAACCAUCAUGAAGGCAUCAAUAUUUUUCAAAUCAGAUCUCUGUGAACCAUUUUAUGAUUGUGGCCUUUUCUGAAUUUUAAUCUCUGACAUACUUCAUUCAAAGUACCUCCCUGAUAAAUUGGUAAAAUUUGUUGCAUUUCAUCAUCAUUCAAUGUUGAUGAAUUUACAGAAUGUCUUUUGAAAUGACAUUCUUAAGAAAGGUAAGUUCCUUAGAUAUUCCAUAGCUUAGGGAGCAGGAUUUCCUAAAACUGCUGCACUUAGCUAAGCUGCACACCUACUUCUGUAGAGAGUCAACUUGUCAUCAAAACAAAAUUAAUAUUGCAUUCUCUUUUGGUCAAGGACACAUUAAACAUUUAGUGCAGCACACAUCUCUCAGGAAUGCAGGAUCAUAAACAAUCAGUUGCAUAUACUUCUUAUCAGAUAAGGUAGCUUCUACAAUAUGCUGUGCUACUAUUUAAAAUUCACUGCUGACCACUAAGUACUGAACCAAUGAAGACACUAGAGGCUGGCAUAAUUUAUCCCUAAUAAUUGUGAACUUUAUUUUUGCUACUGGUAGUGGCUCCAUUGAUGAUAACAGCAAACUCUGACAUGAUUAUUAUAAUUGCAUUCUAUAUUUAAAUAUCUUGUGUGAUGUAUAGCAACCAAAAUAUUAGUCACAAUGGUAACUCAGUAAUUGGUUUACUUGAUUGUUGGAUGGGCUGUUGUGUGUCUAUCUCUAGGCCAAUGACCAGACUUUGUUAUUGUGAUGAAACUUAAUAGGAGCAUUAAUAGCGUGGUGCAUUCACUUCAGUAUAAACAGUACUAGUCAGAAAAAAGCUAAUAAGUGGUCUACUGUCUUUCUUAGGAUUUAUUAGUGUUUCUGUAAGUACUAUUUUGAUUUUUAAAGUUUUAAUACAUUUGCAUUCACUUCCCAUAUAGCUUUUGUAAACUAUGUAAACUACAAUUGUUUUCAAUUCUCAAAAAUGAAUAACCUCUAUCUUUUCCACUUAAUCCUUUUAAAAAGUGAAAAUUAGUGUUUAUCAGAUAUAGAUUCUGCACAUUUUACAUACUUUCAUUUAGUCUUACAACAACCCUAUGAAACAAGUGCUUUUAAAAAUAAUUCAAAUAAAAUUUACAUACCAUAAAAUUCUGUGGCGGAUUCAUUUUGAUAUUUGGCAAAACUAAUACAGUUAUGUAAAGUUUAAAAAUAAAAUAAAAUUAAAAAAAAAAUUCACCAUUUUAAAGGAUGCCAAUUGAGUGGUUUUUAGUGCAUUUACACGGUUACGAAACCAUCAAUACGAACUAAUUCCAGAACAUUUUCAUCACUUCCAAACCCUAUAUUCUUUAGCAGUCACACUGCAUUCCCCUUCCUGCCAGCUUUUAGAAAACAUUAAUUCACUUGCUGCCUCUAGGGAUCUGUCUAUUCUGGACAUUUCAUAUAAAUGGAAUCAUACAGUAUAGCCUUUUGGAUCAGCUUUGUU